rnacentral:rRNA from 1 species
GUCUACGGCCAUAUCACGUUAAAAACACCGGUUCUCGUCCGAUCACCGAAGUUAAGCAACGUCGUGCCCGGUUAGUACUUGGAUGGGUGACCGCCUGGGAAUACCGGGUGCUGUAGGCU